GUACCCUCAAGCUUUGCUUAGUGUUAGGCGUCUUGUCUCUAGCUUUGCUGGAGACUCGCCUUAAAGUAAUUGGCAGCCGGCCUACUGGUUUCGGAGCGCAGCACAAGUCGCACUCUCUAUCAGCAAAGGUUGAGCAUCUAUUAAGCCUUUUUUCAAC
rnacentral:misc_RNA from 1 species